UUUUCAAACAAUGGGCUCACUACAGUGAAAUGGUUACUAUGGGGACCAGAAUCAUCACACAUGAAUACAGUUGGGCUAAUUGAAUCCACAAGAGUCUCAGCUCUCCAGUCUAUCCCAAUUUAUACAAUUCCAAACCCCAGUAUGCAGAAAUAUUACUGUAGGCAAAAAUAACACAUUUAUACUGCUUACAAAAAAAUACCAAGAGAUUAGCAUAAAGUGGGCAUGUUUGUAAAGGGGGGACCCAUUUUCAUUCAGAUAUCUUCCCUUUGAGAAUAGACAUUUUUUCUAAGUGUUAUUUUCCAACAAGCUAGCAUGACAUAUUACAUGAACACAUGUUUUAAAUAGCCAUAUAAUAGCCUACAUUUAAACAGCAAUAAAACACAAACACUGUGGCCUGAAUACAUAACUGUGACGAGAGAGGGAAGAAAAAAGAGAGGGAUGAUGGCAAUGGAGGAUAGUGUCAAGUAGAGCUCUGGCGCUCUCAGCUCCAGUGUUUUACAGUAAAUGCAACAAAGUCGGCUAAAUUCUACCGUGUUGUGUGAUAAGCAGGAGACAAGCUGCUGCACUGAACGCUGUUUGCUUGUUUAUUCACAGUUUAUUAAUACUGAUUGUGUCACAUGUCCAAAUUGCACCAAUUUCAACAUUACACUUCCUUGGUUUCCCAGACAUAAACCCGUCAAGUGUGAAGUUGAUUGGAUGCAUAGUUGUUGAGAAAAGUAGAUAACACAUACAGAAUGUACAGAGAGACAAACCACUCAGUGACAGUGGGGGCAAAACCAAUUGUUCCUUUUAAGUUGUCCUGGCAACAUAUCUUACAGCUCACAUAAUAUUUGGAUACUUACUGUGCUAUUAAUGAAUAUGUAAGUCCUGUUUUAUAAUUGUGUUGUCAUUAUUGCCACCUACCAUGUGCCUUUUUCCCCAUUCUCUCUCUCUCUCUCUCUCUCUCUCUCUCUCUCUCUCUCUCUCUCUCUCAUGUCUACUUAAUCUAUGUCAUUACACAGAGGACCCAGCCACGGCCUCCCACAGUCCUCUCGUUUUACACAGGGCACAGAGAGGAGAACAUCGCCCUGUGAGUCUGACAGCUUCCAGUGGUGGCGUCUGCUCCGAGGUGAAUGAGAUGUCAGCUCCAAAGCUGAGCCAAGCCCCAGCCUGAUUCUCUCUGGAGAACGCCACAGGUCAAAGGGAGGGAGAAAUGCACCGGCGAAAGCAAGUACAAUGACAGUCCCUUGAUCACACUUAGCUUUAAUGGGAAACAAAUUGCAUGGACAGCUGGGAAAUGCCACAUGAGGCUGAAAUGUGUUGGAUUACUGCUUCGUAAGUGGUGCUGGAGAAUGCGACUCUGAUUUAUGAGAGAGAUUCAUUUGUGUGUGUGUGUGUAUAAAAGAUCAUUUGUAGGGCCGGAAUCUGGUCAACAUAUUAAUACAUGACAUGCUACAUGUUUCUGUGGAAAUUAAAUCAAGGGGAAACAGAAAUAUUAGAUUCUGCUGUGUUCCCCUGCGAGCACGCUAAGAGAAGAAUCUGUUUUCCUCAGAGGGAGGUUUUUCGCUCAGCUUGUUAUUUGUAGCGGGGAAUUAAAACUGGGCCUGCAAGGGUUUUCAUCUCCCGUUAGACAUUAGACAGAGUCACAUGUUGCGGUUUCAAGGCUAUAAAACAGAGGCAGAGAGAGAAAAUAAGGCAAGCAUCCCACAUGUUUUAUGCAAAGUUUUUCCUCUCCAUCAUUGUUAUGAUUGCCAUUUGUGCUGCUUUCCUGGAAGAGAAGGCUUUUUAAUGGAAUGGUAUUUCAAGAAUAUUCUGUACAGCAGUGGGAUCCACACCAGUCUCUAAAUAUGACAUUACACACAAACGCACACGUGUGUGUGUGUGUGUGUGUGUGUGUGUGUGUGUGUGUGUGUGUGUGUGUGCGUGUGUGUGCGUGUGCGCACGGCUGUGGGCAUUUCAGGACUAAACAUGUACAUUUUCUUAGCAGACCUAUAUAGAGCUCUCUGAGGAAACAAGAGGCAGUAUCUGGGUGUUUUAUAUCCAAAGUGAGGCCUGAAAUUUGGCAGUGAUAUAAAUAGAUGAUGUAUUUCUGCAGCCCAAACGUGUCUAUGCCUUGAAAGCUGUAUGCUGAGUGGACAGUUUAUUUCCUGCAUCAUUCAUGGCCACUGAAAUAGGCGAAUGAUGUAUGUUGUUAAUUUAUUAUAACGCUGUAGAUUUUCCACUCCCACAAUAAGCCUAAAAAGUAGGCUUAUUAUUAUACAUAAAGAAAAAAAUCUGGUUUAGAUUUUAGGUCUUACUUAAUCAAGUCAGGCUUGAGUCACUAAUUUGAUGACUCGAGCCCGAAAAUACUUGAUACCUUCCCCCAAGCUUUUUAUUUCUGGCAAUCGCAUUUACACCUCAGAAAUUAUACGGAUGGAGUUCAGAGCUUAUUUUGUACAAUAGUUCAAAAUCCAAUGGAACAAUCUCAUUGGCUUUUGGUGGAAAGGACUAGGAUGGGCAUAAACCUUGCAGCACUCUACUGUAUUAUUGUUUGUUUAGGACUCAAAACUCAGAGUUAAGGACUUUAGACUUGAGUACAAAGAAGUGAGACGACAGGGCCGUCCACACCAAGAACGAUAACUACAACAACAACUGCAAAUAUGUAUAUUUUUUUAAAUCAAUUUGGAUUUUUUUUAAAUUGUUUAACUCAAGUGGAUGGCACGCCACAACUAGAUGGUGAUUUGAUUGAACAGUAUUGUGGUAUACAACUUAUUAAACACUUAUAUAAUGUAAUAUGAGGAAACUAUCCUUAAAAAAACAUUAUUUUACCAUUUAUCGUUAUUUUGGUCAUAGCGCCCAAGUCCUUACUUAUUUUUUUUACAAUUUACAAUUUGUUUUCAAAAGAUGACAGCUCUUGUAGCAGAGUGUAAAAUUCUCUUAACUCCCCUGAUCUUUGUGGACCCAUGUCCUUCUGGUUGGCUUUUUGUUUCUCUGCACAACGUAACAUGUUUUUAUUAUAGGAUAGGAUAAGCUAGGAGUGGUGAUCAAAACUCCUUUAAGCCUGCACAGACAGAGACUGGGGAGGGACAUUAACUAAUUCCUUCAAAACCUGAGCCUCUAUAGGUGGAAAUUAGGUUGGGACUUGUUGUUACUGACAGGAACAAUGACAAAACUACAAAACCCAGGUUGUAUGAAAUUUGGAAUUUUCCUUCAAUGUAGUAGUAAUUUAGUUAAAUCUCAAAACUCCAACAAAUCCAGGCAAGCAAGGCCAUUCAUGCAGUAAGUGACAUGUCAAAUUUCUCAUGUUGCAGCAUGACAUGAAUCCCACAUAUCUGUGAAGUCACACUCCUGGUUUAGUGUCUUUGCUGGGAUCUCACAGCUAUGAAAUGGAAAUCUUUUUACAGGUUUUCCAGCGCUCAUCUCCAUAUUUCCAUUGAAGAUAUUUUGACAGGUGUGAUCCCAACAUGAUAGGAAUUCAACAUGUGAAAGCACUCAGGGCCAGAGUGCGUAUAGGGCCACUGCUCAACCUUAAACUCAGAGCAGUUUUUCCUGGUUACAUCAUACAGUCUUGGGUCAGGGGACCAUCAGCAUGGGAGUUAUAAAAGAUGAAAAUCACACAGUAAGUGGUAACGUUAGACCCCCAAUAGUCUGAAACAUUGUGACCACUGCAGAGACUGAGUUAUAGCUCCCUCUUUAGGACUGUGUUGAACUGGGCUAAUGAAGAUCAGAGGCUAACAUGUCUACAGCUGGACGGCUCAUGAGACACAGCUUUAUUCCCUCUUUUAGGUCUGUCAUAUGGCCUUAUAUCACAUAUCACAUAGCUUCAAACAUAAACACACUAGAUUUAAAGAUGAUUUGCCUGUCAGCUCAUCCUUUCCUCAACCAUGCAUCUGGAAAAAUGUCAUCCGUUUCUGUUUGUUGAAUCGAUUAAAAGACAUUACAAGAGCUCCGGGUAAUAUGGCUUGUUGGAAGUGGACGUGGAUCAAAGGAUGAAGCCGCAUGUAUUCGCAUCAGCUCUCCAUCUCGUGAUGGAUGAGGUGAGUCAGCCCAACUCGGUGCAACAGAAAAACUUUGUUCUUCAAAAAAAAGCCUGACGUCUUUAAAUGAAAGGCCAACUGUAAAAUAAGCCAUAAUAUCCACUCACAUACAGAGUGUAUUAGUCUGUGGGUCUCGCUUCUCUUACGUAAUGUUGGCUGGAUUCUGCUGGGAUAUAAUAAGUGAUGUAUUCUGAGAUCACCUUAGAGUCCAUAGUUUGCAAUGGAAAUUCAUAUUUAGGUGAAAGCUGGAGGAAAAUCUCUAAACAAUGAAUCAAACAUUGGUUCAGAGGGGAGGUUAAAGAUCAGCUCACUGGAUCAGUCCAGUCCAGUCAGAGUCCUGGCCAAAGUCAGCUAAGAGGACUUGAAAACAGGAAGCCAGUUUAAUGAUAGUUCUGGUUAGUUCUCUCUUUUAUGCCUCAUUGAUAAUUGCAACAUUGCCUUGCCUGCUGAUGAAACACUGUUGAACCAGAAAUCUUUUUUUCUUUUCUGUGGGUUUUGUUGGAGAAAAUGACUAACGAUGUGUUUCAUAUUGAUAAAGAGCAAAAAUCAAAAAGACUGGUUUGGAGAUUUCUGCUUUGCUGAAUGGGUUGCAUGGAUGAUAUGAAUUCAGUUUUCCAGUCCUGGAGAUGGAUUGUGAGUGGGACGAAUGGUACUCACUCACCUCAGCAAAGUGAGCCACAGGGGAGGCACAUCAGCACAGACCGUUCGAUCAUAAAAUGAACACAUUAUUGGGUUUGAUUCAAACCCCUAAAACCUUCAGUCAAUCAUCAGUCGUCUGUGUCUGAAGGUGGAUGCACACUGACCUUUAGCAUACAUUCAGGUUGUGUUUGUAGUGUAUGGAUGGGACUGUCAGUCUGUCUGUCUGUCUGUCCGUCCAACGACUUGUUGGACUUGGAGUGAAAAAUCUUGACCACUAUUGGAUGUAUUUUGGUUAAAUUUGGUAACACGUUCUCCUAAAGAUGAUCCUUUGAUAAUCCCCUGACCUUUACGUAUUGUACGUAGAGGUCAUCAUUUUCAUGCUCACGUACAUUAAAGCUAACAUGCUAACGUUAGCAUUCAGCUCAAAGCACAGCUGAGCCUCGGUACAGCUGAGGCUGGAUUUACAGUCGAUGCAGGGGCUUAACAGCGUAGGUUGGGAUUUAUAGUUAAAUCCUAGAUAUCACCCGUUGAUAUCACCUCGGCCAUGUUAGACGCAUGUGUGACAUAAGAUCCAACUUUAUGCUUUAUUACAGUGUUCACAUUCUUUCAUUUUCUUUGUGAUACAGAGUGAUUGUGUGCCACACAGAGAUUUAUACAACUGGAAUUUCAACAUAAGACCUUAUCACCUUAAAACUGACCCUGACAAGCUGGCCACUGUGCAGAGGAUAAACUCUUUUGAUUUAGCUAUGACAAGAAAGACCCUUCCUCUGGUCAAGGCCAAACAUCUCUUGCUCCACUAUUAGAGAGGGUCUAUGAAUAGCAGCUCUCUGUUCAUUUUUCAUCCAUCCAGCAAUUUUUUCUUCUGGUGUGGCGCUCUGGCAUGGCCAUAGACUUUUGGUCUUCUUUGACUAACAAUAGUAAGUAGCACAGGCUAUGCUACAAUGGGCCCAACACAGAAAAAAAGCAGUUAACAGUUAAUUUCAAGGUCAGUUUUAUGUCAAACUUGAACUUUUAAGUUUUGAAAUAAACUAGAAAGAAG
rnacentral:lncRNA from 15 species